GUGAUGGAGCUUGGGAAAGGGAGGGCAGAGACAGGCAAGUCUCCUUUCUAGGCCAGUGUGUGAAAGAGGGGUUGGGGGUUUGUGUUAAGACAGGGUCUUACUAGGUAACACAGGCUGACACCCAGUGCUUUCUCUUGCCUGCUUCCUUGACUUUGGGAGUGGCCUUUUUAGUCCUUGCCAGUAUCUUGUCAAAAAUGUCCUGGAAAGAGGCCAUGUUGUAGAACACCCUGAUGACAUCAUGAAGAAUCUUCUAGAGAACUUGCUUUUAUCACUUUCUUUUUUCAUUUGGAGAAUUGAUUAAAAUAUAAUUACAUUACUUUCCUACUUCUCUUUUCUUUUCUCCAGCCCUUCCAAUGACCGUUCCCAACCCCUCUCAAAAUAAUGGCUCCUUUCCUUUGGAUAUUAUUGUUACAUGCACACACACAUAAAUACAACCUGCUGGGUCUAUUUGGUGUGUUGCUUGUGUGUAUAUGAUUUGAAUGCUGAUCACUUGGUAUUAGAUAACUAAUCAGGGGGCCCAUUCCUGAGAGAGACUAAUUCUCCUUCUCUCAGAAGUCAUCAGUUGCUUGGAGUUCUUUGUCUAGGGUGGGGACCCUGUGACAUUUUUCCAUUCUGAGUUAGCAUGUCCAUUGGUAUUGACUUUGUUCAGUUCUUGUUUAGGCAGCCAUAUUGUUGAGGUAUAAAGGGUGUGGCUUGGUUGUUGGUUCUAAGAAACACGAUCUCACAGCAGAGUUCCUGGUCCUCUGGCUCUCUGGCUCUUACAUUCUUCCCACCAUCUCUUCUGUGAUGUUCCACGAGCCUUAGGUCCAGGAGUAGUAGUGUAGAUGUAUCUGUUAGUGUUGGGAUCCUCAUGGUGGGUUGAUCUCUGUGUUAUGACCAGUUGUGGUUUUCACUACAGAGAGAAGUUUCUCUGGUCAGAAUGAGAGCUACACUCUGUAGGUAUAAGGUUGUAGGGUUAUAGGAAUUAUACUGGUCCAGGAAAGUAGUGGUAGUAGGUUCUCCUCUAAGAUUCAUGACCUCAUUAGCCUGGCGUAGUUGAUUAAGUUUCUAGUAGCAGGCAUGAGUUCCCUCCUGUUGAGCAGGCUUCAGUCCAAUUAGAUAGCUAUGGGUCACUGUCUGAUGGGAGUGUCUAUUUAGGCUGCCGUGUGGUCAUUAUUGUGGUUUAUAAGCUGGAUCAGGCUAUUGAUUGCCUCUCUCCCCUGGCAGCAUGCAUAACGCCUUCUGAUAGUCUGAAAGCUAGACCAUACCACAGAGAGAGACUUUCAAGGUAGAUCCAGCGUGACUGACUCUUGUAUCUGAAGCAUGUGGCGUCUUCAGCCUAGGACCUUACGGUCAACCUUUGAAAGGCAACCAAAGGCCACAGCAACAGAAACCUUCGCUCCUUUGGGAGUCACGUGGUUCAUCCUGACCAACAGCUUGAGUUGGAGUUUCUCGUGCCUGGGGUUCUUGUUAAGGAGUGUUUUGCUCUUGUGGGAAGCACUGUCAGUCCAGGUAGUAUAACUUAAAUUAUGCUACGUAUAUGUGUACGUAUUGUACACUUAUAGGUAUUAUAUAUACCUUUAGGUAAAUAUAAAAUACGAUUCUUUGAAGCUUUAUCAAACAUCCUUAGUGCAUUUGUCCCUCUUCCCUUAGCACAGAGGGCAACAUUUUUUUUUUUCAAAUCAGAAUCUCACUGUGCAACCCAGCCUGUCCUUGAACUCAUCCCCCGCCUCCUCCUCUUCCCCCUCCCCCUCCCCCUGCUUUUCCGGUGCUGGGAUUACAGGUGUACACUAGUUAACAAGAACCUCUCUUCUCCAGUUCUCUAUUUGACUUCAUUCCUCCCCAGGAUUGAGGGACCAGGACAUUGCUUUUUUUCUCACUCUAGGAACUACCUAGACCAGCUAGCUAGGUCUUUAAGAUCUCGGGAAAGAAAUUCUCUAGCCUCCCCAUGAUCCAAAGGCUCCUAACCUGGCCCCCAGAAUAGACUCCUGCCCCUGUGAUGAAGACAUGCAGCUGGACCAGUCAGAUGAAGCUCAGGCCCCUCUGCUCCAGAUUGGCUUCUUACUGUCCCUGAGGCAGUCACAGGCAUAGUGUGCAGGCACCGAAGAACAUGGGGUCCAGGCCUUUUUUGUUGGCAAUAUCAGGUUUCUCUUAGGAGGUCCAGCCCCCCAUAUUUAGACCUCAUUGGAGACAGCUGCUGGAGUUUCUGGUCUUUUGACUUUGUGACUUCCUCACAUUUGCAGAUGGCUGAGGGACCUGCCAUUCUUGCUGGCCUGGGGUGUGUCCCCAGGAGGUCUUUAAGCCCCAUUUGGUGAAACUUGUCUCUUUUAUGUUCUUGUGCAGUGGCAGGCCUUCAGCCCCUGUGUGGGGCAAAGCUACACGGACUACACGGUUGGUUGGUUGGUUGGUUGGUUGGUUGGUUGGUUGGUUGGUGGAGGAGUCUUUUGCCAAACUCCUUUAGAGCAUUUGAAAAGGAAUAUCAGGUCUCCUGUUGUUCCUCUGAGAACAGUGUCUCUGGAAGGUAUCCAACAAGCCUCAGGGCCCCCAAGCCUCUGCAAUGCCCUUCAUGCCCCUCAGCCCCCUGCUGUAGACAACUGCCUGGAGGUUGGUAGUAUCCCAGCAGGUCUUAGCUGAUUUAAGUUAGAAUGAGGUCUGCUUAGCUCUGUAUAGUUACUAGGCUCAUU
rnacentral:lncRNA from 1 species